GACGAACGCUGGCGGCGUGCUUAACACAUGCAAGUCGAACGGCGAAGCGCCUACAUCUUUGGUGGGUGUGGAUGAGUGGCCAACGGGUUAGUAACACGUUAGUAACCUGCCCCCUCCUUCUGGAUAACCUCAUGAAAGUGUGGCUAAUACGGGAUACUCCGGGUCUGUCGCAUGAUGGGUCCGUCAAAGAUUUCGCUUCGGAGUGGGAUGGGCUCGCGGCCUAUCAGCUUGUUGGUGGGGUGAUGGCCUACCAAGGCGGUGGCGGGUAGCCGGCCUGAGAGGGUGGACACACUGACAGUGAGUCAGAGACCAGCCAGAUACCUACGGGAGGCAGCAGUGGUAAAUGUCGAUCGAUGGGAGCAAGCCUCAUCCAGCGACGCCGCGUGAAGAAGGGAUUCCUGCGGGUUGUGACCCUUUUUGGGAAAGAAAGCAAGCAUGCCUAGAUUGUGGUUGGGUGAACGGUAGCAAAGUAAGAGGACCCGGCAAACUACGG
rnacentral:rRNA from 1 species